AGCCUCUGUAGCAAAUCCCUUGAAGAGCUACAAGAGCAGAGUUUCGAGGAGAGAUCAACUCAUGACAAGAGUUUAAAGAGAGAAAGAGAUACGGCAAGACAAUGUUGACUGAGAAUUUCCAUCUAGCUUCACAGCAAUAUCAUCAAGAGCUUUGAUACCGGAGCCAUAUGUCGUCUUCAGUUU